GUUGGUGGGGGGGAGAGAAAAAGUUGAGGGAGGCAGAAGAGGACGAGCCAAGGCGGAUGAAAGCGCCUCCGUCUCUGCUUUUUUCCACACUUUCGUGUUGACGCGCCUGAAUGAAACCAAUCUAAACGCAGCGCCGCGUCUCUCCUCAUUUUAUCCCGCUUAUUAUAAAUAUUAUUAUUACUGGAUGAACGGAGCGGGAGCACCUCCAUGAGACGCUCCCGGAAAGCAGCCUCACCGCUCCCUGGACACCGUGGCUGCCUGAGUUGAGCACCGUGAACGCAAACUGCUGCUUUCAAAGCGAGUUUUCUGGACGACCAGUGGGAUUUUAUCCGCUCGCUCCGAGAAUAAAAACAACAACAACAACAACAACAAAAACGCUCAGGGGAAAUCGAUCCCCGCCGGUGUCCGCAGCUGAGUCAGAGACCUGAAGCUGUCAAAAUGGAUUCUCACUGCCGCAAACUGGCCAACACCUGCGCGCAAAUAG